CUACGGGGCGCUGCAGUGGGGAAUAUUGCACAAUGGGCGAAAGCCUGAUGCAGCAACGCCGCGUGAGGGACGACGGCCUUCGGGUUGUAAACCUCUUUUAGCAGGGAAGAAGCGAAAGUGACGGUACCUGCAGAAAAAGCACCGGCUAACUACGUGCCAGCAGCCGCGGUAAUACGUAGGGUGCAAGCGUUGUCCGGAAUUAUUGGGCGGAAAGAGCUCGUAGGCGGUUUGUCGCGUCUGCUGUGAAAAUCCGAGGCUCAACCUCGGACCUGCAGUGGGUACGGGCAAACUAGAGUGCGGUAGGGGAGAUUGGAAUUCCUGGUGUAGCGGUGGAAUGCGCAGAUAUCAGGAGGAACACCAAUGGCGAAGGCAGAUCUCUGGGCCGUAACUGACGCUGAGGAGCGAAAGCGUGGGGAGCGAACAGGAUUAGAUACCCCCGUAGUC
rnacentral:rRNA from 1 species